ACCUACUGUUUAAUUUUGAGGGUUCGUUUUUACGAAUACUCAAAAUUAGCACUUUUAGCAACAGAAUAAACUGAACGCAUGUGAAGUUUGUUUGUUGGCGCCGUGCAUUAGCACUUUAAGCAACGGAAUUUAUUCGUUGGCGCUGUGCGUUAGCACUUUGAAAACUGCAUAUAUAUAUUUAGUGAUAUGACAUCUAAUUUGUAAUAUAUAAAGCUGAUAACUUUUUAAAAUUAUCGAAGUUGAUAGCUUCUAAUCUAUCAAACCUUUUUAACUGGUCAA
rnacentral:misc_RNA from 1 species